CGAAAGGGUGACUAUGCGACGCCGCGUGUGCGAUGAAGGUCUUCGGAUCGUAAAGCACUGUCAGCCGGAAGGAAUCUCUGGAGGCCUAAUAAGCUUGCAGGGUGACAGUACCGGCAGAGGAAGCCACGGCUAACUCCGUGCCAGCAGCCGCGGUAAUACGGAGGUGGCAGGCGUUACUCGGAUUGAUUGGGUGUAAAGGGUGUGUAGGUGGCGAGUUAAGUCGAAUGUGAAAGCCCGCGGCUCAACCACGGAAUUGCAUUCGAAACUGGCUUGCUUGAGCGACUGAGAGGUAAAUGGAAUUCCCGGUGUAACAGUGAAAUGUGUAGAUAUCGGGAGGAACACCAGUGGCGAAGGCAGGCCUCUGGGCCACUACUGACACUGAGGAGCGAAAGCGUGGGGAGCAAACAGGAUUAGAUACCCUGGUAGUCUACGCUGU
rnacentral:rRNA from 1 species